UGUAAGUUAGUGGCGGACGGGUGAGUAACGCGUGGGCAACCUGCCCCAUACCGGGGGAUAACACCUGGAAACAGGUGCUAAAACCGCAUAAGCGCACAGCUUCGCAUGAAGGUGUGUGAAAAACUCCGGUGGUAUGGGAUGGGCCCGCGUCUGAUUAGCUGGUUGGCGGGGUAACGGCCCACCAAGGCAACGAUCAGUAGCCGGCCUGAGAGGGUGGACGGCCACAUUGGGACUGAGACACGGCCCAAACUCCUACGGAAGGCAGCAG
rnacentral:rRNA from 1 species